GAGGAACAUGCUAAAGAGUGACACGGUCGAGGCGCUGAUAUGCCUCCAAGAUUGGCUAAAGGCUGAUGAUCCUAAAACAACCAAUAAAGAUGUUGAGGAGGAAGAAUACUUGAUUUUCUACCAAGAAAGCGAGUGCCAUGAAGAGACUGCGCCAACAGAAUUAGCUUGUGGAACUCAACAAUCAGCCGGGUCUGUGGCAACUCUCAUGGUCUGAUCAGGAAGUACGGGCUCAUGUGCUGCAGGCAGUGCUUCUGCAGCAAUGCCAAGGACAUUGGUUUCAUCAAGUACCGUUGAAGACUCUUCAUGUUUGUGACUGAGAAUUGUACCUG